AUCCGAAACGGUAGAAGAUGUACUUAUUGAAAAGAUUCUUGCUGCUCCUACCUAAUAUGAACUGUUGAACCUGGAGGUAGAUGCCAGUACCACUGGUGCUGGAGCUGUCCAACUGCAAGAGGAUGAUGGAGGAAUAUUACAUCACAUUUUUGGAUCUGAACACUGGCGAAAACGACCAACAAGGCCCAUUCAAGAAAAUAAACGUCUAAGUUCCUGUGGACGAACGGUCUUUUUUUGGACACAAUGGUUUGGACACGGCAUUAAUGCAUAGAAGAGUCAAUUCCUGGACACCAUCGGAGAUGAAAGCACUUUUUAAUAAUACUUAGCGCUUUGACUCUUGUAGACUGCAGACCACUCUGUGCUUGAGGAAAUCCUACCUUUAUUUUUUGCAGCAGUCUUUGUCUUCUUUCUGAUGUCUUUCCCUGCUGGUUCUUCCCUGCCCUUUGCUGUUUUCAAUUUCUUCACCUUCUUUUCAUCUAUUUAAAGGUGUAGUGUGAGAAGAAUGAAACAAGGAGAAGACUAUUUAUCAAAUGGUAUAUGGAUGAGAUGGUACAGACCUCUGUCCGUCGGCAGUAUUUACUACCGCUCAAACCACACAUUUCUCAUUGUCUCUAUCUACAUGUGCAUUUCCAUAAAAUGUCCUACAGAUCUCAUGGUCUCGAUACGCUCCCUUUCUUCCCUGUGGAAUAAUGUACUUCCUUUUUGGCACAUAAUCCAAAAAGCUUGAGGCUCUAGACCGGAGUUGGAGACCUCUGCUCUAGUCACUUUAAACCAUGAGUCCCCAGCUGUUUUUCCCUGAGGGCCAAAUUCUAUCAGCAACACAAAGCUAAGGUCCACCACAAAUAAAAAAUACUAACUGUGUGGUCGCCUCGUGAUAAAAUUCACAGACUGGGGGGAAACAAUCUGACAGUCAGGAUGCAGACUGGACUCCACCAAAUGGUGACUACUGCUUUUAACCAAGCAAGGUGUUGAUGUAAAGAUAUAUAACAAAAUGGCAGUUGGCAGCUCUCCAUGUAGUUCCUGUUUGUUUUUUUUUCACCUCGUUUGUUACGAAUUUCGUACAUGCACAUCUCAUAACUAUGUUUUAUUGUUGUGUUAUGCAUGAAAGUAUUUAUGUGUGUAUAAUGUAUGCGUGCUAUUUAUGGAAGCUGUAACCAAAUUUUGUUAGGUAUACGUACACAUUCUGUUAGCACAACGACAAAUAUAAAAAUCCUUGAAGCUUAAUUGACGGGGGCCGUACUUGGCGAGGCUGGGCUGUCCUCCCCACCGGCGGGGUCCUCAUUCUUCUUGACCUUUGACCUUUUCGGUUUCCCAUCUGAGCUGUUGGCUUGGAUCUGGCUCGUCUCCUGAUUUUUCUUCUUGAGCUUCUGUACAGCAUGGCCUGCAGGAAAAAGAACUUGUUCAAUCGUGCUACUAC